GUCAGAUGAUUUGAAUCCAUAUACUGAUGCUCUGUGAGGUACAACAAUUAAUAGCAUGUUAGAGUUCUGAUGGCA
ensembl:snoRNA SNORD28 Small nucleolar RNA SNORD28